UACGUAGGGUGCGAGCGUUGUCCGGAAUUAUUGGGCGUAAAGGGCUCGUAGGCGGCCUGUCGCGUCUGCUGUGAAAUCCCGGGGCUUAACCCCGGGUCUGCAGUGGAUACGGGCAGGCUAGAGUCCGGCAGGGGAGACUGGAAUUCCUGGUGUAGCGGUGAAAUGCGCAGAUAUCAGGAGGAACACCGGUGGCAAAGGCGGAUCUCUGGGCCGAUACUGACGCUGAGGAGCGAAAGCGUGGGGAGCGAACAGGAUUAGAAACCCGCGUAGUCC
rnacentral:rRNA from 1 species